rnacentral:rRNA from 1 species
UGGGGAAUUUUGGACAAUGGGCGAAAGCCUGAUCCAGCAAUGCCGCGUGUGUGAAGAAGGCCUUCGGGUUGUAAAGCACUUUUGUCCGGAAAGAAAUCCUUGGCUCUAAUACAGUCGGGGGAUGACGGUACCGGAAGAAUAAGCACCGGCUAACUACGUGCCAGCAGCCGCGGUAAUACGUAGGGUGCAAGCGUUAAUCGGAAUUACUGGGCGUAAAGCGUGCGCAGGCGGUUUGCUAAGACCGAUGUGAAAUCCCCGGGCUCAACCUGGGAACUGCAUUGGUGACUGGCAGGCUAGAGUAUGGCAGAGGGGGGUUAGAAUUCCACGUGUAGCAGUGAAAUGCGUAGAGAUGUGGAGGAAUACCGAUGGCGAAGGCAGCCCCCUGGGCCAAUACUGACGCUCAUGCACGAAAAGCGUGGGGGAGCAAAACAGGAUUAGAUACCCUGGUAGUCCACGCCCUAAAACGAUGUCAACUAGUUGUUGGGGAUUCAUUUCCUUAGUAACGUAGCUAACGCGUGAAGUUGACCGCCUGGGGAGUACGGUCGCAAGAUUAAAAACUCAAAUGAAUUGACGGGGUCAUAGCUGUUUCCU